UGAAUUUUAUCCACAUAAUAUGUUUAUCUGUGAAUCAAUUGAUUAAACCGGGUUAUAUUGACAUCCCACUGCAUACUAAAAGACCCCAUUUCUAUUGCAGAUAUAUAGACUAUAACCCCAAAAUAUUUUAAAAAUGAAUUUCCCCUUUGAUUUUGUGUUUGUAAUGUUGUUAUGGAUGAUAAACAUGACCACCUUCUAAAUCAAUCACUAAAAUACACUUGAUUAAA